UCCGAGUUGUCCCCGGCAGUCUCCUUAGAGUCCCCGCCAUUACGCGCUGGCAACUAAGGACAGGGGUUGCGCUCGUUGCGGCACUUAAGCCAACACCUCACGGCACGAGCUGACGACAGCCAUGCAGCACCUGUGCUAGCCCCUUGCGGACACGGGCUUUCACCCGCUUUAACUAGCAUGUCAAACCCAGGUAAGGUGGGGAUGACGUUCGUCUGAC
rnacentral:misc_RNA from 1 species